GUAGGACUCAAUAAAAAACCAAACCAAAACAAAACAAACUAUUUUCGGACUGGCUUAUCCAAUCUGCCAUGGCUAGCAACAUGGUAGCAACAAUGUGAAGUUCUUCCAGCAACAAAAUGUGAAUUUCUGGAGACAUCUGGACUUGUUAUUUCAUUGAUAUAGAAACUCCUUCCAAUGAACUCAGAAGCUUGUGGUCUUAGGGAGAAUUGCCUGGUACACUAAGAGGAUAUGUUCCAAGAUGCUGACAUAGGUCUUUGUUUUCAGAGUUAUCUUCUCUUAAGAAGCAAUACGAUGAAAGGGAAGAACAUGGAAUAAGUUGUGAUAUAUGAAUAUGAUGGAGUACUAUGAUGCUGUAAGAAAUGAGGAAAUAGAUGAAUUCAAAGAGACAUGGAAAGACAUGAAAAGGUGCAGAGUGAGGUGUGCAAAACCUGAAGAAGAAUUUGUAUUAUAACAUUAAUAUUACAAAAACAAACAAUCCUGAAGACUUUCAUGAAGUGAUGGAGAAAGAAAUGACCAGAACCAAGAGUACAACUGAUACAGUAAAAACAACACUGUAAAUUCGAACUACUUUAAAAACUGUAAGAACUGUGACCAAUCCAAUGAUGAUUGAUGAUUCAGGAGGACCAAGGGUGAAAUAUACUAUCUACCUCCUGAGAGCUGAUAGAUUUAAGGUACUGAAUGAUUCAUACAUACAUGCUUACAUGCCAAGAUAGGGUAAUUGACUGUGUGCAAAUGCACGCAUACAAAUAUACACACAUAUAUAUAUAUGGAUGUAGAUGUGCACAUAUAUGUAUAUGUAUGUCUGUGAAUGACCAAUGAAGGAACUGAUUUUGC